rnacentral:lncRNA from 1 species
GCUGAGGCUCCGCGCUGGGGAUAUUGGCGGCGGCAACUGCGGGCUGAGCUACGCUGUGCAGACCCAGUGCACAGUGCGGGAUCCCGGGACGGCGCGUGUAAGGAUCCGAGGGGUGCGCGAUCUUGGCCCGAGGGCAAGGGUCAGGGGUCAGAAGGUGCAGAGAAGGGGCUGGGGCUGAGUGCUCCAGAAGCCCGAGGCGGGGCCCUGGGAGGUGGCCGGCAUGCUCUCUCCUUGCGGAUCCCCUUCUCUCUGCACCCCUUUUCUUUGGCCUGACUUCCUGGGGCGACCCGGAUCGCGAUGGGGAUCGUGGGGAGCUAGAGCCCCCGAGCGACCCUUCCUCCCUGCUCACCUCCCUGCUGUGUCCUCUUGUGACCUGGCCGGGGACUCCUGCCUGGGUCAGUCUGCCUCAGGGGACAGAUCGCAGGAUGGCAGCUAGCUAUCUGAUUCCGGGACCUUCUUCCAGGGGUGACCUUACCCCAGGGGUGACUCGCUGGGUCUCCGCUAGAGAGAGAACCAAGGUCUGCCAAAGGGCUGGACCUUAGGAGCUCCGAGUCUGCUGUGUGACCUUGGACAGUUUACUUACCCUCUCUGGGCCCCGUUUCUUUCUCUUUGAAAAGUCAUAGGCUCUUCAGGAGGCAAAGGCAGGAGAAUGGCAACUUCAAAGCUUCAAAGCUCCAUAGGGAUAUCCCUACCACCAAAGACAAAAAACAAGAAAGCGGUUGGUGGAUUUCGCCUAAGUGGAGUGCAGUUUCUAGGAAUAGUUGGUGGGGCUGCGCUGAAGUGGGCAGUGUCCCCUGCGUUCCAUGACUACUUGUGGCUCUUUACUUGGGAGAGGCCACGCUAAGCUGCCUCAUGUAUCAAGUGGGCGCUAACCAACUGAGGGCAGAGCCGUUGAGUCGGAGCCAGGAGGUUGUUUCCUGUGGGUGGGGUCUACAGCUGUGUACUGUAGAUGUUCAGUAGCCUCUCUGGACUCCCUCGCAAUCAAUCCCAAGUUGUGAUGCUGGAAAUAUUUCUAGACAGUGGGGACAAAGUCACUCCAGGCGAGAGCCAUUGAGGUGAGACCAGGCAUGUUAGAAUGGAGUCAUGCAUCCCGCUGUUAAAAUGUAAAACCCACUGGGAGGAUCUCCCUAGGAUGCUAGUGACGAACAUUAGAAACCUGUUGUCAUGCGUUGGGAGAGCUUCUUGCCUUCCAAGUGAAUAGCGAGAACACACUGUUAGAGCCUCCUCCUCAUGGCCUCAAAGUACAUCCUUGUAAUCCCUCUGCUGUGGAGUGCGUUAGAAGUGUGAGCCUAGUCUAUGCAAGGCACUGGGGGAGGAGAGAGUUAAGCCAAAAUUCAAAACACACUGCAGUUCUUUAGGCAGCCAAAUGACGGGUAUCUUGUGGGAGUUCCUCUUCUGUCUCCCCUUGUUGAGAUUUCCAAGCAAAAUAAAUUCUCAAAUCUG